ACAAUAACGACUACAUCAAAUUCAAAGACUUUUAGAACCAUGUCAGUAUGAUUAUUAUGUGAAAAAACAAUUAAAUUUGAAAUGUAAACGUUCCCAUUGGUUGUUUUAGACUUAAAAAUCUUUUUAUUUUCAGAUUUAUGUCUAAAUUUGGCAUUUUUUAAUUUCAGUUUAAGGCUAAAAAUAUUGGUUAAAUCGAUUUUUCGUAAAAUUUCCCCGGUAGAUUUUUUUUAAAAACGGAUAUGUCAAAGCUAUGAACUUUUCGAGCAUUUUAAGGUAAAAUAAAAUGGGGGUCACCAGGCUUUUAAAAAAGUUACGAGCUUUUGUUUAACCCCUCUACCCCAUGAGGUCUGAUUUCAAUGCACUCCAUUAAUUACUUGAUUGUGAUUUUUUUAUUAAUGUCUUUAAAUAAAUAAUGUUUGUAAUUAUAUCAAUGGACGAAAGCUGAAUAUAAAUGUGAUGAACAUUUUACUGUUUGUUAUAAAAAAGCGAAAUUUUGAUUAUUUUGGUGAAAUACGGUAAUUUUGUCUGGCGCGAGUUGCUUCCCUCUAAUCUGGCGCCAUAAUCGGACAACAGAAAUUUCAGGGUCGCCAUUGCUGAGCAGCAUACUGCACUGAUAAAUACGACCAUGUGCAUGAAUAACAGACAUAGUGGCGAAUAGACAACGAUGAAGGCUUCAAGUACAUGUAAGAGAAAGGAGUGAUUUGUUGUGAAAGAUCCUGGAAUGUUCAACUUUACUUGUAAACUAUUGGCAAAGAACUGACAGAAUUUACACGAGAAGCCAGUAUCAUCUUGUCUUGCAAUUGGGAACUAUAUGUAAAGUGCAGAAACUUAAGAACAACAUUAGAAGCCAAGAUCAACAAUACUUGGAACUACAUGUAUAAUCAAAGUACUGUCAGAAUCCAUAUGAGAGAACCCAAGAUCAUCUACACUUGGUGUCUAUAUGCAAAGUGUUGUCAGAAUCCACUUAAGAAGCCAAGAUCAACUAUAAUUUGGAACUAUAUGCUUUAGUGCUGUCAAAAUCCAUAAAAAAAAAUCCAAGAUCAAAAGGACCUACUUUACCUACCUGUCCCAAUGAUGAAUACAGAUUAUUGAGUCUUAUAAAAAACACUGAUGAAGAAUAUUGAUAUAAAAAUAAUGAAAAUAUAGAGCUGAUCAGCUAAUGAUUGUACAUGUACAUGAUGUAUACAUGUCAACAAUAACUAGUAUAUUGAAAUUUACAAUGCUAAUAAAUGUUUUAUAAAUUUGA